AUGGGAGACAAGAUCGUAGAAGAAGUGUUGGCUGUGCUAAAUGGGGGUGAAUUCCCGGAAGGCUGGAAUGACACAAUGGUGGUACUGAUCCCUAAGGUCAAGAAUCCAAGGAGAAUCAAGGACCUGCGUCCAAUCAGCUUGUGUAAUGUUGUUUACAAGAUGGUUUCCAAAGUCCUAGCAAACAGACUCAAGUUGGUGCUACCUGAAGUCAUCUCUGACAAUCAGAGUGCUUUCGUCCCCGGAAGACUGAUUACAGACAAUGUACUUAUAGCAUAUGAGGUCUCACAUUACUUGAUGAAUAAGAGAAAUGGUAAGAGUGGUGUUGCAGCUAUCAAGGCAGACAUGAGUAAAGCGUACGAUAGAGCAGAAUGGUGUUUCCUGGAGGCUAUGCUAUGCAAAUUAGGAUUCAGGAGGCAAUGGAUUGACCUGAUCAUGAAGUGUGUUAGGACAGUUCCAUACCAAAUAAAGGUUAAUGGAGAGCUCACUCAUCAGUUUAGUCCGUUGCGAGGUCUAAGGCAGGGCGACCCAAUCUCUCCCUACUUGUUUGUUAUUUGUGCGGAAGGAUUAUCUGCUCUGUUGCUGGAUGCGGAAGAGAGAGGCACCAUGCAUGGGGUUAAGAUCUGCCCACGGGCGCCAUGUGUAUCACACCUUCUCUUCGCCGAUGACUCUAUGCUCUUGAUCAAAGCGGACCAGCAAGAAGCAUCGGAGUUGCAUGAAGUCCUUCAGUUGUAUGAGGAUUUCUCUGGCCAGUGUAUCAAUACUGAAAAAUCUGCUAUCAUGUUCAGUCCAAACACUUGUGAUAAUGCUAGGAAUUCUGUCAAGGCAGCGUUGGGCAUACAGAGUGAAGAAUGGAACGAAAAAUAUCUUGGACUGCCUGUCCAUGUGGGACGUUCAAGGAAAAAGGCCUUCAACUACAUAAAAAGAAACUUGUGUGGACGGGUGUAUGGGUGGCAGGAGAAGCUCUUGGCGAAAGAAAGUAAGGAAGUGCUUGUGAAAGCCGUGGGACAGGCUAUCCCGACCUUUGCUAUGUCCUGCUUUGAUCUAACCAAAUCCUUUUGUACGGAGCUGAAUACUCUGCUUGGUAAAUUUUGGUGGAGCCAACAGGAUAAGCAGAAUGCUAUGCAC
rnacentral:rRNA from 1 species